rnacentral:lncRNA from 1 species
GGGACUGUGACUUUGGAGCUUCGCACUGAGAGGAUCGUAUCUGCUCAAAAUAAAUACAAGAAGAAUGUUAAUGACCAGCUGAACUGGUGUGUCAGCAGGCGAUGUUGUUCAAAGAGCCGCGGGGUCUGGGGUAUGAUUUUGCCUGCAAGCCGUGUCAUGACUGACAGCUUUGCCAGGUUCCCUUCCUGCCAUAUUGACCUUGCUGACCUGCUUCUCUACCUUGGUGGUAUCUGGGGCUUAUAUCUAUGUCUCCUCAGCUGAGUGAAGACAUGGAGGAUGAGCUCUGGCCAUCGGAAGAAUGGAAGGUUUGCCUAUUCUGGAAAUUUCAUUUAAAUAGAGAAAUACACUACGUGCUCUUUGUGCCUGGCUUCUCUCACUCAGCACAAUAUUCUGGAGUUGCAUCCAUGUGGAAGCACGCAUCAAGACCUCAUUCCUUUGAUGGCUGAAUGAUACUCUUGUGCUGGCUGGUUUUGUGCCAACCUGGCACAAGCUGGAGUUACCAUAGAGAAAGGAGCUUCAGGUGAGAAAAUGCCUCCAUGAGAUCCAGCUAUAAGGCAUCUUCUCAAUUAGUGAUCAAGGGUAGAGGGGCCCUUGUAGGUGGUGCCAUCCCUG